rnacentral:rRNA from 1 species
CGAUGAAGGACGUGCUAAUCUGCGAUAAGCGUCGGUAAGGUGAUAUGAACCGUUAUAACCGGCGAUUUCCGAAUGGGGAAACCCAGUGUGUUUCGACACACUAUCAUUAACUGAAUCCAUAGGUUAAUGAGGCGAACCGGGGGAACUGAAACAUCUAAGUACCCCGAGGAAAAGAAAUCAACCGAGAUUCCCCCAGUAGCGGCGAGCGAACGGGGAGCAGCCCAGAGCCUGAAUCAGUGUGUGUGUUAGUGGAAGCGUCUGGAAAGGCGUGCGAUACAGGGUGACAGCCCCGUACACAAAAAUGCACAUGCUGUGAGCUCGAUGAGUAGGGCGGGACACGUGGUAUCCUGUCUGAAUAUGGGGGGACCAUCCUCCAAGGCUAAAUACUCCUGACUGACCGAUAGUGAACCAGUACCGUGAGGGAAAGGCGAAAAGAACCCCGGCGAGGGGAGUGAAAAAGAACCUGAAACCGUGUACGUACAAGCAGUGGGAGCACGCUUAGGCGUGUGACUGCGUACCUUUUGUAUAAUGGGUCAGCGACUUAUAUUCUGUAGCAAGGUUAACCGAAUAGGGGAGCCGAAGGGAAACCGAGUCUUAACUGGGCGUUAAGUUGCAGGGUAUAGACCCGAAACCCGGUGAUCUAGCCAUGGGCAGGUUGAAGGUUGGGUAACACUAACUGGAGGACCGAACCGACUAAUGUUGAAAAAUUAGCGGAUGACUUGUGGCUGGGGGUGAAAGGCCAAUCAAACCGGGAGAUAGCUGGUUCUCCCCGAAAGCUAUUUAGGUAGCGCCUCGUGAAUUCAUCUCCGGGGGUAGAGCACUGUUUCGGCAAGGGGGUCAUCCCGACUUACCAACCCGAUGCAAACUGCGAAUACCGGAGAAUGUUAUCACGGGAGACACACGGCGGGUGCUAACGUCCGUCGUGAAGAGGGAAACAACCCAGACCGCCAGCUAAGGUCCCAAAGUCAUGGUUAAGUGGGAAACGAUGUGGGAAGGCCCAGACAGCCAGGAUGUUGGCUUAGAAGCAGCCAUCAUUUAAAGAAAGCGUAAUAGCUCACUGGUCGAGUCGGCCUGCGCGGAAGAUGUAACGGGGCUAAACCAUGCACCGAAGCUGCGGCAGCGACGCUGAUGCGUUGUUGGGUAGGGGAGCGUUCUGUAAGCCUGCGAAGGUGUGCUGUGAGGCAUGCUGGAGGUAUCAGAAGUGCGAAUGCUGACAUAAGUAACGAUAAAGCGGGUGAAAAGCCCGCUCGCCGGAAGACCAAGGGUUCCUGUCCAACGUUAAUCGGGGCAGGGUGAGUCGACCCCUAAGGCGAGGCCGAAAGGCGUAGUCGAUGGGAAACAGGUUAAUAUUCCUGUGCUUGGUGUUACUGCGAAGGGGGGACGGAGAAGGCUAUGUUGGCCGGGCGACGGUUGUCCCGGUUUAAGCGUGUAGGCUGGUUUUCCAGGCAAAUCCGGAAAAUCAAGGCUGAGGCGUGAUGACGAGGCACUACGGUGCUGAAGCAACAAAUGCCCUGCUUCCAGGAAAAGCCUCUAAGCAUCAGGUAACAUCAAAUCGUACCCCAAACCGACACAGGUGGUCAGGUAGAGAAUACCAAGGCGCUUGAGAGAACUCGGGUGAAGGAACUAGGCAAAAUGGUGCCGUAACUUCGGGAGAAGGCACGCUGAUAUGUAGGUGAAGUCCCUCGCGGAUGGAGCUGAAAUCAGUCGAAGAUACCAGCUGGCUGCAACUGUUUAUUAAAAACACAGCACUGUGCAAACACGAAAGUGGACGUAUACGGUGUGACGCCUGCCCGGUGCCGGAAGGUUAAUUGAUGGGGUCAGCGCAAGCGAAGCUCUUGAUCGAAGCCCCGGUAAACGGCGGCCGUAACUAUAACGGUCCUAAGGUAGCGAAAUUCCUUGUCGGGUAAGUUCCGACCUGCACGAAUGGCGUAAUGAUGGCCAGGCUGUCUCCACCCGAGACUCAGUGAAAUUGAACUCGCUGUGAAGAUGCAGUGUACCCGCGGCAAGACGGAAAGACCCCGUGA